CACAGGGGUCGGACAAAAAGUGCGGAUGACGUAAAAAUGACGUAAUCUUGCACACAGGAUGAUGUUUGAGUUUGUAUUUAAACUUCCGUGUGACAUGUAUGAAUAAAAUAAAUUUCACGAAACUUGCCACAAUAUUCGAGUAAAGAUGACAUUUUAGAGCGUUUUCUUAUACAUUAGUAAAUAUAAAUUUUAGCUAAAUAUAAUCGUGAAGAUACAAUAGCUAAACAAUAACGAAGUCAAUUUAUUGUUCAUCUGAUUGACAAUGUGUCAGUCGAAAACGUACUUACUCAUUUCAAGUGGCGAUAUCGUUUAAUAAAGAGGUUGAUAAAUGAUAAGUGAUAAUUGUUUAUGAAAAUCAAAAAUACUAUUUGAAAUCAUCCUAUAAGUGGUUUGACGUCAU